AGCUGUGGAACUGGUAGACGACCUUCCGGCAAGUCUUUGACUUGUCUCGAGGUAUGAACCUUCCCGUGCUUUUUAGAACAUAGAUGGCACCAGUCAGGUGACCAUCGAAACGUAAUACGCCGCGAUGACUUCGGUCACGACGGUAUGGCGAGCUUUCGCCGUCCACGUUUCUCUUUCUUCAAAAGGAUAUCGAACCAUGGGUUUGCGCUCGCGCGCUGUUCGCACCUUCGGUGCUGCGCUCCGCGAGGGCGCCGGACGACCGGCGACGGCCUCUGGCCUGUAUGGGCGGCUCUUUCUGAGGUUUUGCUCAGGUUAGGCGUCAACGCAGAGAGAUGGGCCCGUAGCUCAGUUGGUUAGAGCACACGCUUGAUAAGCGUGGGGUCGGAAGUUCAAGUCUUCCCGGGACCACCAUUUGCACCGGCAAAUGAGGUUUGCUGUAGCGAAUUGUGGUUUGUUUGGGUUUACCUGAUCCUGGCGGUUUGCUGUCAGGUGUUUGCGAUGGUUGGGGCUGUAGCUCAGCUGGGAGAGCACCUGCUUUGCAAGCAGGGGGUCAGCGGUUCGAUCCCGCUCAGCUCCACCAAUUCGCUUGGUGUCGAGACUGAGAGAUAUCCUUUGAAGAAAUAAAAGUUUUGCACCGGCUUAUGGCUGGUGCGUGUUUCUGCAUACAUUGUGAAGAGAAGAUUGAUCUGGAGGCUUCCAGGUGUUGUGGGUUUUGCCCAUGAUGUCCGAGCCCAGUUCCUGUGAAACCAUGGAUGGCCUAGCCGGCCGGAUGUGGUGGAGGGAUUGGAGGUAGGUAGGAAGCUUGUCGCUCUGGAUCGUCAGCGUAAACCGCGUAGCGGUUUAUCGCGUGUUGUUCGUUGCCUUUGGGCAUCGUCUGACGGACGAUCGGAUUACCGUUGCCUGACCGCGCGGUAUCGGAUCCAAUCUCGAGAAGCUGGUCUUAAGACAGGCUGCAAGCGAGCUGCUCGGCGUAGCUCCAAUAAAGCAGACCUGUCGAACACGUUAAUGGCAUUGUUGGAUUGACUGGGUUGUAAAAGGUAACCCGGUCUGUUGCCGUUUCUUAUGGAGCGAGCAACGAGAUGAUGAGCAUUGGCAAUGAGAACGAUUAAGUGUCGUAAGGGCAUUUGGUGGAUGCCUUGGCAUGCACAGGCGAUGAAGGACGUGAUACGCUGCGAAAAGCCGUGGGGAUGCUGCGAAUGAGC
rnacentral:misc_RNA from 1 species